rfam:Arsenicibacter rosenii strain SM-1 scaffold2, whole genome shotgun sequence.
CUAAUCUUAAAGGGGUGCCUUAAUACAACGGGCUGAGAUUAUACCCAUCGAACCUGAUCCGGGUAAUGCCGGCGAAGGGAAAGUAGCUACGUUUCGAC